AUACGGAGGGUGCAAGCGUUGUUCGGAAUUACUGGGCGUAAAGAGCGUGUAGGCGGUUUGGCAAGUCAGAUGUGAAAGCCCCGGGCUUAACCUGGGAAGUGCAUUUGAAACUGCUUCACUAGAGUAUGGGAGAGGAGAUUGGAAUUCCUGGUGUAGAGGUGAAAUUCGUAGAUAUCAGGAGGAACACCCGUGGCGAAGGCGAUUCUCUGGACCAAUACUGACGCUGAGACGCGAAAGCGUGGGGAGCAAACAGGAUUAGAUACCCUGGUAGUCCACGCCGUAAACGAUGAGAACUAGGUGUAGUGGGUAUUGACCCCUGCUGUGCCGAAGUUAACGCAUUAAGUUCUCCGCCUGGGGAGUACGGCCGCAAGGCUAAA
rnacentral:rRNA from 1 species